CUUUACGCGUCAUCAAGCCCGUUUCACAACAGGUGCUGAGAAACGUUCAACUUUUAAAAUAUAUUUAAAAUCCAAAUUAUUAAAAUAUCACAAAACAAGUGAGGGAUGUAUAAAUGAAGGAGUAGACGAAGUUUAUUUUCUCACAGCUGCUUCUUGAAGGUUUUGAUGGUCCAGAGUGGAGCAAAGAGACUGAAGGUUUUGGAAAGCGACUUUGUACUUCACUGUGAAGGAGCAACGAUGCAAGACCAUAACUGGCGGGGGGGAAUCAUACACUUUUAGGAGUUUGUUGAGAUGGAGACACACUCUGAUUCGAUUGGACAGCUGCCUAUAAUUGAUAGACCAGCAUCUGCUGUACUUCAGGAUUCAUCUGCCAAUAGUCAUUGCAUUGAAGGAGAAUAUCCCCAGCGUUCAUUUGGUGAAGGAGAGUGAUGGAC